rnacentral:rRNA from 1 species
UACAGAGGUCUCAAGCGUUGUUCGGAUUCAUUGGGCGUAAAGGGUGCGUAGGUGGCGGGGUAAGUCAGGUGUGAAAUUUCGGAGCUUAACUCCGAAACUGCAUUUGAUACUGCCUUGCUUGAGGACUGGAGAGGAGACUGGAAUUCACGGUGUAGCAGUGAAAUGCGUAGAGAUCGUGAGGAAGACCAGUGGCGAAGGCGGCAUCCUGGACCAUGACUGACGCUGAGGAGCGAAAGCCAGGGGAGCAAACGGG